UAAAUACUCCCUCCGUUCGGAAUUACUCGUUCAAGAAAUGAAUGUAUCUAGAUGUAUUUUAGUUGUAGAUACAUCCAUUUUUGUGACAAGUAAUUCCGAACGGAGAGAGUACUAA
rnacentral:pre_miRNA from 1 species